rnacentral:rRNA from 1 species
GAUGAACGCUGGCGGCGUGCCUAAUACAUGCAAGUCGAGCGAACGGACGAGAAGCUUGCUUCUCUGAUGUUAGCGGCGGACGGGUGAGUAACACGUGGAUAACCUACCUAUAAGACUGGGAUAACUUCGGGAAACCGGAGCUAAUACCGGAUAAUAUUUUGAACCGCAUUGUUCAAAAGUGAAAUACGGUCUUGCUGUCACUUAUAGAUUGAUCCGCGCUGCAUUAGCUAGUUGGUAAGGUAACGGCUUACCAAGGCAACGAUGCAUAGCCGACCUGAGAGGGUGAUCGGCCACACUGGAACUGAGACACGGUCCAGACUCAUACGGGAGGCAGCAGUAGGGAAUCUUCCGCAAUGGGCGAAAGCCUGACGGAGCAACGCCGCGUGAGUGAUGAAGGUCUUCGGAUCGUAAAACUCUGUUAUUAGGGAAGAACAUAUGUGUAAGUAACUGUGCACAUCUUGACGGUACCUAAUCAGAAAGCCACGGCUAACUACGUG